rnacentral:sRNA from 1 species
AGCAGCCGCGGUAAUUCCAGCUCCAAUAGCGUAUAUUAAAGUUGUUGCAGUUAAAAAGCUCGUAGUUGAAUUUCGGGGUCAGUAGAUUGGUCGUGCCACUGGUAUGUACUGGUCUUACUGGCUCCUCCUUCCUGAUGAACCGUAAUGCCAUUAAUUUGGUGUUGCGGGGAGACUGGACUGUUACUUUGAAAAAUUAGAGUGUUUAAAGCAGGCUAACGCUUGAAUACAUUAGCAUGGAAUAAUGAAAUAGGACGUUCGAUCUUAUUUUGUUGGUUUCUAAGAUUGACGUAAUGAUUAAUAGGGAUAGUUGGGGGCAUUAGUAUUCAAUUGUCAGAGGUGAAAUUCUUGGAUUUAUUGAAGACUAACUACUGCGAAAGCAUUUGCCAAGGAUGUUUUCAUUAAUCAAGAACGA